rnacentral:rRNA from 1 species
AACGAACGCUGGCGGUAUGCCUAACACAUGCAAGUCGAACGAGACUCCUUGAAUUCAAGGCUUCGGCCAAGAAUUCUUGAAGUCUAGUGGCGGACGGGUGCGUAACACGUGGGUAACCUGCCCUUAAGAUGGGAAUAACUCUCCGAAAGGAGGGCUAAUACCCGAUGUGAUCAUCGAGACAACGUCUUGAUGAUUAAAGGAGCAAUCCGCUUAAGGAUGGGCCCGCGGCCUAUUAGCUUGUUGGUGAGGUAACGGCUCACCAAGGCUACGAUAGGUAGCUGGUCUGAGAGGAUGAUCAGCCACAAUGGAACUGAGACACGGUCCAUACUCCUACGGGAGGCAGCAGUGAGGAAUAUUCCGCAAUGGGCGAAAGCCUGACGGAGCAAUACCGCGUGCGCGAUGACGCCCUUCGGGGUGUAAAGCGCUGUCAGUGGGGAAGAAGAUCUGACGGUACCCACAGAGGAAGCCCCGGCUAACUACGUG